rnacentral:ncRNA from 1 species
UGAGAGCGAUGAAAUAAGAGGUUGCUACGAUAAAUAAAACGUAGGUUUUCUUAUGGAGCGAUGUCUAGUUCAAGAAACUGACGACAA